rnacentral:rRNA from 1 species
AACGAACGCUGGCGGCAUGCCUAACACAUGCAAGUCGAACGAGACCUUCGGGUCUAGUGGCGCACGGGUGCGUAACGCGUGGGAACCUGCCCUUAGGUUCGGAAUAACUCCCCGAAAGGGGUGCUAAUACCGGAUAAUGUCUUCGGACCAAAGAUUUAUCGCCUUUGGAUGGGCCCGCGUUGGAUUAGCUAGUUGGUAGGGUAAAAGCCUACCAAGGCGACGAUCCAUAGCUGGUCUGAGAGGAUGAUCAGCCACACUGGGACUGAGACACGGCCCAGACUCCUACGGGAGGCAGCAGUGGCGAAUAUUGGACAAUGGGCGAAAGCCUGAUCCAGCAAUGCCGCGUGAGUGAUGAAGGCCUUAGGGUUGUAAAGCUCUUUUACCCGGGAUGAUAAUGACAGUACCGGGAGAAUAAGCGCCGGCUAACUCCGUG